rnacentral:tRNA from 1 species
GGGGAUACAGCUCAGUGGUAGAGCAGCUGCUCCCCAUGUGGGAGGUCCUGGGUUCAAUUCCAAGUACCUCCA